UGCAAGUCGAACGAAUUAUUCUACAGAGUAAUCUAAGGGAUAAUUAGUGGCGAAAGGGUUAGUAAUAGAUAGGUAACGUACCCCGUGCUUCGGGAUAGCGUCGGUUGCUUGCAACCUACCGAAAGGGGCGGUAAUACCGGAUAAUGUCAUUUUUCGCAAGUUUAAUGACCAAAGAUUUAUCGGCGUGGGAGCGGCCUAUCUCCUAUCAGCUUGUUGGUGGGGUAAUGGCCUACCAAGGCAACGACGGGUAGCGGGACUGAGAGGUUGACCCGCAACAUCGGGACUGAGACACUGCCCGGACCUCCACGGAGGGCUGCAGUAACGAAUAUUGGGCAAUGGGCGAAAGCCUGACCCAGCAACGCCGCGUGCGGGAUGAAGUCUUUCGGGAUGUAAACCGCUGUCAGGGGUAAGAAAGCCUUCGGGUUGAUCGAACCCUGAGGAAGUCACGGCUAACUUCGUGCCAGCAGCCGCGGUAAUACGAAGGUGGCAAGCGUUGUUCGGUAUCACUGGGCUUAAAGGGUGCGCAGGCGGGAAAGUAAGCGUUUUGUGAAAUCCCCCGACUUAACCGGGGAAUUGCUUGGCGAACUGCUUUUCUUGAGGCAAGUAGGGGUGCAUGGAACUCUUGGUGGAGCGGUGGAAUGCGUAGAUAUCAAGAGGAACGCCGGAGGUGAAGACGGUGCACUGGGCUUGUCCUGACGCUGAGGCACGAAAGCGUGGG
rnacentral:rRNA from 1 species